rnacentral:sRNA from 1 species
ACCAGAAGUUAGGGGUUGCAGCGGCGCUGGCUUUAGGUGAACGACGUGAAAAUUACUUUUCCCACUAAAAUACACCAAGUAUAUGCCCAGCCUUCAUGAAAGUGAACAGAGAAACAAAGCGCCUUUAUGUGGGUGGCCUUAGCCAGGACAUUUCUGAGGCAGACCUACAAAAUCAGUUCAGCAGAUUUGGAGAAGUUUCGGAUGUGGAGAUCAUCACACGGAAAGAUGACCAAGGAAACCCACAGAAAGUUUUUGCAUAUAUCAACAUCAAUGUAGCAGAAGCGGACCUGAAAAAAUGUAUGUCUGUUUUAAAUAAAACAAAAUGGAAAGGUGGAACAUUACAAAUUCAACUAGCAAAAGAAAGCUUUUUGCACAGCAGUUGCCAGCCUACUGUGUGCAGGCACUGGAGCCCCAUGCUGAGCAGGUUGAGCACACAGUGCUGCUGCUUGGAGUAUCUGCGUGGAUAUGCCUGAGAAGCAUGGGUCUGAUGGUUGUUCUGGGACAUAAAGGAGACAGCCCAGAGGCAAAGAGGCCAGUGAGGACUGCUCUGUGCAGUUGUCCAGGC